GAGAAAGGCACCUUCGGGUGCCGAGUAAAGCGGCGGACGGGUGAGUAACACGUGAGUGAUGUGCCGUCGGGCGGGGGAUAGCCCACCGAAAGGUGGACUAAUACCGCAUGAGACCACAGGCCCUGCGGGGCCAGGGGUCAAAGACUUCGGUCGCCCGACGAUCAGCUCGCGGCCCAUUAGGUAGCCGGUAGGGUAAAGGCCUACCGGGCCGAAGAUGGGUAGCUAGUCUGAGAGGACGAUUAGCCACACUGGGACUGAGACACGGCCCAGACUCCUACGGGAGGCAGCAGCGGGGAAUCUUGCGCAAUGGAGGCAACUCUGACGCAGCGACGCCGCGUGUGUGACGAAGGCCUUCGGGUCGUAAAGCACUGUCAGGCGGAAAGAAAGCCCGACUUUGAGUCGGGUUGACGGUACCGCCGAAGGAAGCACCGGCCAACUCCGUGCCAGCAGCCGCGGUAAGACGGAGGGUGCAAGCGUUGUUCGGAAUCAUUGGGCGUAAAGCGCGCGCAGGCGGCCGAGCAUGUCCGGUGUGAAACCCCGGGGCUUAACUCCGGAGGCGCAUCGGAAACUGUUCGGCUUGAGUCCGGGAGGGGCCUGUGGAAUUCCUGGUGUAGGGGUGAAAUCCGUAGAGAUCAGGAGGAACACCGGCGGCGAAAGCGACAGGCUGGACCGGGACUGACGCUGAGGCGCGAAAGCGCGGGUAGCGAACAGGAUUAGAUACCCUGGUAGUCCGCGCCAUAAACGUUGUUCACUGGACGUUGCGUUCGUCUAGAAUGCAGUGUCGAAGCCAACGCGUUAAGUGAACCGCCUGGGGAGUACGGCCGCAAGGCUAAACUCAAGGAAUUGACGGGGGCCCGCACAGCGUGGAGCAUGUGGUUUAUUCGAGCACGCGAGACUUUACUGGGUUGACAUCCGCGAACGGCCCAAAAGCCGGUGCCCUCGGGAGCGGGUGACAGUGUUGCAUGCUGUC
rnacentral:rRNA from 1 species